UUGAACGCUGGCGGCAUGCUUUACACAUGCAAGUCGAACGGUAACAGGUUAAGCUGACGAGUGGCGAACGGGUGAGUAAUGCAUCGGAACGUGCCCGAUCGUGGGGGAUAACGCAGCGAAAGCUGCGCUAAUACCGCAUACGAUCUGAGGAUGAAAGCGGGGGACCGUAAGGCCUCGCGCGAUUGGAGCGGCCGAUAUCAGAUUAGCUAGUUGGUGGGGUAAAAGCCCACCAAGGCGACGAUCUGUAGCUGGUCUGAGAGGACGACCAGCCACACUGGAACUGAGACACGGUCCAGACUCCUACGGGAGGCAGCAGUGGGGAAUUUUGGACAAUGGGCGCAAGCCUGAUCCAGCAAUGCCGCGUGCAGGAUGAAGGCCUUCGGGUUGUAAACUGCUUUUGUACGGAACGAAACGGCUCUUUCUAAUAAAGAGGGCUAAUGACGGUACCGUAAGAAUAAGCACCGGCUAACUACGU
rnacentral:rRNA from 1 species